GCUCCUUUAGCUCAGUUGGUAGAGCGCAGCACUAGUAUAUAUAUAUAUAUAUAUUCUUAUCGUUAUGCGAGAUGCUGAGGUCAUUAGUUCGAGUCUGAUAGGGAGCA